rnacentral:rRNA from 1 species
GCAAGUCGAACGGGAAUUACUUUAUUGAAACUUCGGUCGAUAUGAUUUAAUUCUAGUGGCGGACGGGUGAGUAACGCGUGGGUAACCUGCCUUAUACAGGGGGAUAACAGUCAGAAAUGACUGCUAAUACCGCAUAAGCGCACAGAGCUGCAUGGCUCGGUGUGAAAAACUCCGGUGGUAUAAGAUGGACCCGCGUUGGAUUAGCUAGUUGGUGAGGUAACUGCCCACCAAGGCGACGAUCCAUAGCCGGCCUGAGAGGGUGAAC